CCAAAGAUGAGAACGGCCUGGGAAGCCUACCUUCAAGACGGUGGACUUCUACAGGAAGCACCAGGACUCCAUGACCCCAGCCGGUCUGGGCUUCUUCCAGAGCCAGUGGGACGAGUCGGUCACCAACACCUUCCACAACACGCUUGACAUGAAGGAGCCGGUGUUUGAGUUCGUGCGGCCCCCCCGUGUACCACCCGCCGCGGGUCAAGUUCCCCCACAGGCAGCCGCUCCGCUACCUGGACCGCUACCGUGAGGGCAAGGAGCACACCUACGGCAUCUACUGAGCCCCACAGACGCACACAUCUGGAGCUACCGCUGGACGACA
ensembl:lncRNA